AGCUCCAAUAGCGUAUAUUAAAGUUGUUGCGGUUAAAAAGCUCGUAGUUGGAUUUCUGCUGAAGCAAACCGGUCCGCCCUCUGGGUGAGCAUCUGGUUUUGCUUUGGCAUAUGCUUAGACUUUGCAGCUGCACUUGACUGUGUGGUGUAAAGGCUGAGCCUUUUACUUUGAGGAAAUCAGAGUGUUUCAAGCAGGCCAUCGCCUUGAAUACACUAGCAUGGAAUAAUAUGAUAUGACUGUGGUUUUAUUUUGUUGGCUUUUAGAAUUAGAGUAAUGGUUAAUAGGGAUAGUUGGGGGCAUUCAUAUUUAACUGUCAGAGGUGAAAUUCUUGGAUUUGUUAAGGAUGAACGACUGCGAAAGCAUUUGCCAAGGAUGCUU
rnacentral:rRNA from 1 species